UACGUAGGGUGCGAGCGUUAAUCGGAAUUACUGGGCGUAAAGCGUGCGCAGGCGGUUAUGGAAAACAGAGGGGAAAUCCCCGGGCUCAACCUGGGAACUGCCUUUGUGACUGCAUGACUAGAGGACGGCAGAGGGGGAUGGAAUUCCGCGUGUAGCAGUGAAAUGUUUAGAUAUGCGGAGGAACACCGAUGGCGAAGGCAAUCCCCUGGGCCUGUACUGACGCUCAUGCACGAAAGCGUGGGCAGCAAACAGG
rnacentral:rRNA from 1 species